AUACCUUUCUCGGCCUUUUGGCUAAGAUCAAGUGUAGUAUCUGUUCUUAUCAGUUUAAUAUCUGAUAUGUGGACCAUUGGUUCACAUGAUAUUAAAUUAAUUUCUUAAGGGAGAGGGUCAACUGCAGUGGCUUGCUACUGUGGCUCUCAAGCAUUGCCUUUGCCUUGCACUGUUGCAAGGGCUGAGUGCAUCCCUC
rnacentral:snRNA from 2 species